UUCCGGUUGAUCCUGCCGGACCUGACUGCUAUCGGAUUGAUACUAAGCCAUGCGAGUCAUUGUAGCAAUACAAGGCAGACGGCUCAGUAACGCGUAGUCAACCUACCCUAUGGACGGGAAUAACCUCGGGAAACUGAGUAUAAUGCCCGAUAGAACAUUAUACCUGGAAUGGUUUAUGUUCCAAAUGAUUUAUCGCCGUAGGAUGGGACUGCGGCCUAUCAGUUUGUUGGUGAGGUAAUGGCCCACCAAGACUAUUACAGGUACGGGCUCUGAGAGGAGUGGCCCGGAGAUGGGUACUGAGACACGGACCCAGGCCCUAUGGGGCGCAGCAGGCGAGAAAACUUUGCAAUGUGCGAAAGCACGACAAGGUUAAUCCGAGUGGUUUCUGCUAAAGGAACCUUUUGUUAGUCCUAGAAACACUAACGAAUAAGGGGUGGGCAAGUUCUGGUGUCAGCCGCCGCGGUAAAACCAGCACCUCAAGUGGUCAGGAUGAUUAUUGGGCCUAAAGCAUCCGUAGCCGGCUCUGUAAGUUUUCGGUUAAAUCUGUACGCUUAACGUACAGGCCGCCGGGAAUACUGCAGAGCUAGGGAGUGGGAGAGGUAGACGGUACUCGGGAGGAAGUGGUAAAAUGCUUUGAUCUCUCGAUGACCACCUGUGGCGAAGGCGGUCUACCAGAACACGUCCGACGGUGAGGGAUGAAAGCUGGGGGAGCAAACCGGAUUAGAUACCCGGGUAGUCCCAGCUGUAAACUAUGCAAACUCAGUGAUGCAUUGGCUUGUGGCCAAUGCAGUGUUGCAGGGAAGCCGUUAAGUUUGCCGCCUGGGAAGUGCGUACGCAAGUAUGAAACUUAAAGGAAUUGGCAGGGGGAGCACCACAAGGGGUGAAGCC
rnacentral:rRNA from 1 species